rnacentral:tRNA from 1 species
GCGGCUCUGGCCCAACUGGUAGAGGCGUCUGGUUCAGGACCAGAAGGUUCGGGGUUCGAGUCCCUGGAGCCGCACCG